GUGCCGGAAUCAGUACUUUUCCUGAUUUUCCUAAGAAGGUGCCAGAUAUCACACAGGGUUAACAAGACCUUGGAAGGAACUUUUAUAUCAGUGAGCGUUUUUGCUAGUGGUACCUUUGACGCAAUAAUCGUCCACCCUCCAGGCAUCAUGGGCAAACGUAUCGAGCAGUUACUCUAUGCCGACCCAGGAUUUCAUUGCGGAGUCUUUAAAAUAUACCUCAACCUUAUACCAACAUACAGUCACUCUCGUGCGAUCUACGAGUUGCGCUUGCGCGAUUCAUACGAUACGCCGUUCAAUGUAAAAUGUAUUUCGUUAUUGAGGAAGAAAGCUGAAAACAACUAUGUAGACGCGUAUGCGUCCACCUGCACCGCAAGUAAUGUUGUCUGCAAAUGAGAGACAGAGGUCUGGUCGGUAAUGGCGACCACAUCUGAAAUAAUGAAUCGGUCUUUCUUGAAUUACCAAAACUUUA
rnacentral:lncRNA from 1 species